GGAUAUAAGCUAAUUGUAUUUCACAUGUUAAGUGAGAGAGAUGCAUUAAAAAGUAAUUAAAAAAAAAACAAAAUGAGUAUGCAUGCUUGCAUCAAAUUUGUACAUGAUAAUAAUAAGUAUCAUUGUGUGCUAGUACCACACAUAUUUUACAAAAAAUAUGAUGUAGACCCUAUCACACCUUCACAUUUAUUUGAUUACGAUAGUACACACAAAUAUUAUAUUUUACAUGAGAAAAACAAAAGAUAUCCAGGAUAUAUUGUGUGCCUAGGAGAGUCGUUAGAAGAAGUCCAAAGAAAAGCUUUAUGAUAAACCAAAGAGGUUAAUAUUUCCAAAGAAGUUUACCACAAGCGAGGAUGAAAAACAAAUUAAGGGCGAUGAUAGUGCAAACUCCGAAACAAAUCCUAUUAAACUUAAGGCUUGUAAAAAAGUAGCACAGAAAGAGAAUUCAGUGAGCGUUGUAGAAAAAUUUAAGAGUCAAAUUUUGCUCAGAAAUCGAUCAGAUUUAACUCGUACGGAUUACAGUAGCAGACUAUUCAAUCAUGACAGUCAUGCAACUGCUCAAACAACUGCUAAAGAUUCUACAGAUAAGCAAAUUAAUAAAAAUGAUAACAAUAAGUUGCUAAGUGAAAACGUGUUUAUUCACUUGGUUGAUUGCAUAAAAUCCUCUCCACACGUAACCAAA